GAGAAGGCGCUCUGAAAGUGCAGCGACCGCAUCUUGCUGGCUCAUGAAUUAGGAAACAAAGGUUUUCAGGGAAGCGGUAGACAAGUUCCUUCAGCUCAACACGAUGUCAUUGGCCCGGCCUGGCACCCACAGGUAAAGAAUAGCAGAAAAAGAGAGAGGAACUCUCGCAAACCCAUCCUGCUCCUGCUCACUGGGUCAUUAGAAACAAAACAGAUCUGGUGAAGGGUCUGCUCUAAAGCAGCUUGGUAACAUCACAGAAAGAGACAAGCAGCAACUAGACAGUGUGUCCUCCUGCUAAAAGUACGUAACAUCGGUUAUGAAGUAGUCCUUUCCCUCCCACCCAGAAAAAGGGCCCGACUCUGACGAAGCUUUUAGGAGAUCUAACUACCAAUGUACAGGAAAUACAGAAACAGAAGACCAUGUUAAAUGACACCACAGGCAUGUUUGUUUCUAACUUGGUUUUUUAGUUCUAACCUGUCACUAUUUUAAAAAUUGUAUUGAUAAAUAUAAUAAAAAUACAUCAGAAAAGAGAAAAAA